rnacentral:rRNA from 1 species
AUUGAACGCUGGCGGCAGGCCUAACACAUGCAAGUCGAGCGGAUGAAGGGAGCUUGCUCCUGGAUUCAGCGGCGGACGGGUGAGUAAUGCCUAGGAAUCUGCCUGGUAGUGGGGGAUGACGUCCGGAAACGGGCGCUAAUACCGCAUACGUCCUGAGGGUGAAAGUGGGGGAUCUUCGGACCUCACGCUAUCAGAUGAGCCUAGGUCGGAUUAGCUAGUUGGUGGGGUAAAGGCCUACCAAGGCGACGAUCCGUAACUGGUCUGAGAGGAUGAUCAGUCAUACUGGAACUGCGACACGGUCCAGACUCCUACGGGAGGCAGCAGUGGGGAAUAUUGGACAAGGGGCGAAAGCCUGAUCCAGCCAUGCCGUGUGUGAAGAAGGUCUUCGGAUUGUAAAGCACUUUAAGUUGGGAGGAAGGGCAGUAAGUUAAUACCUUGCUGUUUUGACGUUACCAACAGAAUAAGCACCGGCUAACUUCGUG